rnacentral:rRNA from 1 species
GACGAACCGAGCGAACGUUGUUCGGAAUCACUGGGCGUAAAGGGUGCGUAGGCGGCGCGGUAAGUCGGGUGUGAAAUCUUGGAGCUUAACUCCGAAACUGCAUUCGAUACUGCCGUGCUUGAGGACUGGAGAGGAGACUGGAAUUUACGGUGUAGCGGUGAAAUGCGUAGAUAUCGUAAGGAAGACCAGUGGCGAAGGCGGGUCUCUGGACAGUUCCUGACGCUGAGGCACGAAGGCCAGGGGAGCAAACGGG